rnacentral:misc_RNA from 1 species
GAUGAAGAACGCAGCGAAAUGCGAUAAGUAGUGUGAAUUGCAGAAUUCAGUGAAUCAUCGAAUCUUUGAACGCACAUUGCGCCCAUUAGCAUUCUAGUGGGCAUGCCUGUUCGAGCGUCAUUUCAACCCUUAAGCCCUGUUGCUUAGCGUUGGGAGCCUACAGUACUGUAGCUCCCCAAAGUUAGUGGCGGAGUCGGUUUCACACUCUAGACGUAGUAAUUUUUUCUCGUCUGUAGUUGAGCCGGUCCCCUGCCGUAAAACACCCAAUUUAUCAAGGUUGACCUCGGAUCAGGUAGGAAUACCCGCUGAACUUAAGCAUAUCAAUAAGCGGAGGA